CGAACGGCAGCACGGGUGCUUGCACCUGGUGGCGAGUGGCGAACGGGUGAGUAAUGCGUCGGAACGUACCGAGUAAUGGGGGAUAACGCGGCGAAAGUCGCGCUAAAACCGCAUACGCCCUGAGGGGGAAAGUGGGGGAUCGCAAGACCUCACGUUAUUCGAGCGCCCGACGUUGAUUAGCUAGUUGGUGGGGUAAUGGCUCACCAAGGCGACGAUCAGUACGGGUCUGAGAGGAUGAUCCGUCACACUGGGACUGAGACACGGCCCAGACUCCUACGGGAGGCAGCAGUGGGGAAUUUUGGACAAUGGGCGAAAGCCUGAUCCAGCCAUUCCGCGUGAGUGAAGAAGGCCUUCGGGUUGUAAAGCUCUUUCAGCUGGAACGAAACGGUACGCGCUAACAUCGUGUGCUAAUGACGGUACCAGCAGAAGAAGCACCGGCUAACUACGUGCCAGCAGCCGCGGUAAUACGUAGGGUGCGAGCGUUAAUCGGAAUUACUGGGCGUAAAGCGUGCGCAGGCGGAUUAUUAAGCAAGACGUGAAAUCCCCGGGCUUAACCUGGGAAUGGCGUUUUGAACUGGUAGUCUAGAGUGCGUCAGAGGGGGGUGGAAUUCCACGUGUACAGUGAAAUGCGUAGAGAUGUGGAGGAACACCAAUGGCGAAAGGCAGCCCCCUGGCAUGACACUGACGCUCAUGUACGAAAGCGUGGGUAGCAAACAGGAUUAGAUACCCUGGUAGUCCACGCCCUAAACGAUGUCAACUGGUUGUUGGGGGAGUGAAAUC
rnacentral:rRNA from 1 species